rnacentral:rRNA from 1 species
AGAGUUUGAUCCUGGCUCAGAACGAACGCUGGCGGCAGGCUUAACACAUGCAAGUCGAACGGGCGCGAGCAAUCGCGUCAGUGGCAGACGGGUGAGUAACGCGUGGGAACAUACCCUUCGGUUCGGAAUAGCUCAGGGAAACUUGGAUUAAUACCGGAUACGCCCUUGGAUGAGAGUCUGGGGGGAAAGAUUGAUCGCCG